rnacentral:rRNA from 1 species
AGUAGCGGCGAGCGAACGGGGAUUAGCCCUUAAGUUGGUUUGGUGUUAGCAGAAGGCCCUGGAAAGUGCCGCCAUAGUGGGUGAUAGCCCCGUAUGCGAAAGCGCCUUAUCAAUGAAAUCGAGUAGGACGGGACACGUGUUAUCCUGUCUGAACAUGGGGGGACCAUCCUCCAAGGCUAAAUACUCCUGACUGACCGAUAGUGAACCAGUACCGUGAGGGAAAGGUGAAAAGAACCCCGGGAGGGGAGUGAAAGAG